UACAGAGGGGGCAAGCGUUUGUUCGGAAUUACUGGGCGUAAAGGGCGCGUAGGCGGCCCGCUAAGUCGAACGUGAAAUCCCCGGGCUCAACCCGGGAACUGCGUCCGAUACUGGCAGGCUUGAAUUCGGGAGAGGGAUGCGGAAUUCCAGGUGUAGCGGUGAAAUGCGUAGAUAUCUGGAGGAACACCGGUGGCGAAGGCGGCAUCCUGGACCGAGAUUGACGCUGAGGCGCGAAAGCCAGGGGAGCAAACGGGG
rnacentral:rRNA from 1 species